rnacentral:rRNA from 1 species
UACGUAGGGGGCAAGCGUUGUCCGGAUUUAUUGGGCGUAAAGAGCGUGUAGGCGGCUUGGUAGGUUCCGCUGUGAAAACUCGAGGCUCAACCCUCGAGAUGUCGGCGGAAACCACUUGGCUAGAGUCCGGAAGAGGAGAGUGGAAUUCCUGGUGGUAGCGGUGAAAUGCGCAGAUAUCAGGAAGAACACCUAUGGCGAAGGCAGCUCUCUGGGACGGUACUGACGCUGAGACGCGAAAGCGUGGGGAGCGAACAGG